rnacentral:rRNA from 1 species
GACGAACGCUGGCGGCGUGCCUAAUACAUGCAAGUUGAGCGCUGAAGGUUGGUACUUGUACCAACUGGAUGAGCAGCGAACGGGAGAGUAACGCGUGGGGAAUCUGCCUUUGAGCGGGGGACAACAUUUGGAAACGAAUGCUAAUACCGCAUAAAAACUUUAAACACAAGUUUUAAGUUUGAAAGAUGCAAUUGCAUCACUCAAAGAUGAUCCCGCGUUGUAUUAGCUAGUUGGUGAGGUAAAGGCUCACCAAGGCGAUGAUACAUAGCCGACCUGAGAGGGUGAUCGGCCACAUUGGGACUGAGACACGGCCCAAACUCCUACGGGAGGCAGCAGUAGGGAAUCUUCGGCAAUGGACGAAAGUCUGACCGAGCAACGCCGCGUGAGUGAAGAAGGUUUUCGGAUCGUAAAACUCUGUUGGUAGAGAAGAACGUUGGUGAGAGUGGAAAGCUCAUCAAGUGACGGUAACUACCCAGAAAGGGACGGCUAACUACGUG